rnacentral:rRNA from 1 species
AUUGAACGCUGGCGGCAUGCCUUACACAUGCAAGUCGAACGGUAACAGGUCUUCGGAUGCUGACGAGUGGCGAACGGGUGAGUAAUACAUCGGAACGUGCCCGAUCGUGGGGGAUAACGAGGCGAAAGCUUUGCUAAUACCGCAUACGAUCUACGGAUGAAAGCGGGGGAUCUUCGGACCUCGCGCGGACGGAGCGGCCGAUGGCAGAUUAGGUAGUUGGUGGGAUAAAAGCUUACCAAGCCGACGAUCUGUAGCUGGUCUGAGAGGAUGAUCAGCCACACUGGGACUGAGACACGGCCCAGACUCCUACGGGAGGCAGCAGUGGGGAAUUUUGGACAAUAGGCGAAAGCCUGAUCCAGCCAUGCCGCGUGCAGGAUGAAGGCCUUCGGGUUGUAAACUGCUUUUGUACGGAACGAAAAGCCUCUUUCUAAUAAAGAGGGGUCAUGACGGUGCCGUAAGAAUAAGCACCGGCUAACUACGUG